UAGCUCAAAAGGGUAGAGUGCCAGCCUCAUAUGCUGGAGGUGGUGGGUUCAAACCCAGC
rfam:Otolemur garnettii contig194153, whole genome shotgun sequence.